ensembl:lncRNA
CUUCCAAACCUCUGCAGAGUGUCGAGGAGCUUCAAUGCAAAAGAACCCGCGGACAGAGCAAAGUGCCUCUCCGACUCGUCUACUGCACCACCAGAGAAAAGCCCCACUAAACAAUGUCUGGAUGUGAGGUUGCGCCGGAGCGACGGGGUGUGUGUGCUUUGAAAGCGGAGUUGCUUGUAUGAGAAAUUAAUUUGUUGUUUGCCUGAAGGAGAGCUUAGAAGGAUCAUUCCUGUUUGCGCCAAAUCUGAUAUCCAUUGGUUGUGAUAACAUUGUGCACGGAAAAUUAAUUGCCGAGAUGGAACACUAAAACUGUGCUUUACACAACAUCCAGACAGGAAAUACCAAAACCAAAAUGAUGAUGUUCAUUCUUUGCCUGGAUAUAUUUAUUUUUAGCAAUAUCACUGAAAAGUAGCACGGAUCAUUUUGAAUUGCAAUAUCAACAUAACGUCAACGUAACGUAAUUUAUCUCCGAUAAGGUGACAAAGUCCACGCUGACCUUUGGUCCCCUGGGACACGCGUCUCCUGGGUGAAGGUCCUGUCUCCAGCAUCGAGGGCCUUGAACCGUUCGGCCAUGUUUAUCUGAAAUUAACGUGACACAAAUGUUGUUUGCAACAGAAAAAAAUAUGCCGAAUGUUUGUUAAGUUUGAGUGGUUGAAAUUGUGUAGUUUUGCUGAGGAGGUCAGAAAGCAUUUGAAUGAACCUCAGAAGAAGAUCUCAACAGCUGCCUUUCAAUAAGAGCUGAGAUGAAGGGAUCUGUUUACAACCAAUCACUUUGAGGAAUAUCACUAAACUAUAAUCUGACAACAACAACGACAGCGAGUUAUUUUUUAUUUUGCCACCGGCGCAAUUAAUCAAAAAGCAAUUACAUUAGCACGGAGAGAUGGAUUAAAUGAUUUUGACAUUUUUUCUGUGGUCGCCUCGGCUUGCGUUGUCCCCGUCCUUCUGUCUGCAGGACGCCAAAAUCAUGACCCCCCCCCCCGUGUACUAAAGCACACGUCUGCUCAAUCAAGGUGCACCACGUGUCCCUCCGUGCUUUAUUACACUGUGUGCUGAACGAAAGCCGCCGCCUAAUUAGGGAAGACUUUCAGUCCGCUCUGUUUCCCUCCCACCUCGCACUCCCUCCCCCUUUGUCCCCCCCCCCCCCCCCCCGGGGCUUCUCCCCACCGCCCGCACAGCGGGGGGCCAAAUCCCUUCGGCUCUAAGGAGUCAACUCUCCUCCAACUUAGAUGUCGGAGGGGGGGGGUUUUGCACUGGAGGCAAAAUCUCACUGCAGCCUCUUCAGCCAUUUUCUGACUGUGCGAUGCAGGUGGCCUCGGUGAAAGUGCCCCGGGUGACGGGGGAGGGGGGUGAAUGGGGGUGGAGGGGGGUCUAGUCAUGCAGAGAGGAGUCCUCAAUCUCAGCAGAUGGACCCAUUGGUGGUGGGAGUAGAGUAUCGAGGCUCAAAGAACCAACUUUAGAGGCACCGCUUCAGAAGUAGUUUCAAAAGGGGUCAGGAGGUUUCGGUCCGCAUGGGGCUCUGGAGUAAAUGAUGGAGUGAGGGACUCGGGGAACUGCAGAGAACCGACUGAGAGAGCCAACGCGCCGCACAUGAGUGCAUUGGCUAAUGGCCUCCGCAGCUGAAGAUAAUGGGCGCAGUCUGCGGCCCAGAGCAGCCGAGACCCGGGGUCCCGCCGGUGGAAUCAGGGGUGAAGGACGACGUUGGCCGAUGGGAAAAUCGCCUCCUCGCCAGUCGUUUAUUUACAUAAGCCUCCUGGUUCAUGGGAAAGGUUGAUGGUUGCAAUUGGCAAAUUACCACUGAGCAAGCACAGACACCUCCCGAUCACAUCUGGCCAGAUGAGGUGCCAGAUGUGAUCGGGAGGUCUCUGAAACCUCCAGGUCCACCAUGCAGUUUGAAGCAGCACCAACUGCAGCGACGACGCACGACCUGAGCUGGAAAGGCGAGCGAAUCCUGGAGCCUCUUCUGGCAAAAGCCUCCUUUAGAUUGGUGUUAUUAUUCUAUCUACUGGGGAUAACGACUCCCUGUGAGUGACGAGAGGACGGCGAGGUAAGAGCAGGGAGGGAGGCGUGAAAACACUGCUCGGCGAGACGGAGGAUUAUAGGCGACGGGAAUAAUAGGUCUGGCCAAGUGAAUGCAUCACUCUCCGUAUCCGGGGUGAAACGGGGCCCUAUUUGCACGUGGGGGCGGCCGGACGAUUGUGCGUCCGUGUCCUCGGCUUUCGAGGGGCUGGGAGGCAGGCGACCUCACGCUGUUCGGUGAGAGCACGGACACCCCGCCAGGUCGGUAAUGAGACAAGACCAACACCACUGAGCGAGAGGCGGUAAUUACACACACACACAACAGCCUCCCACCAGCACGCGCUGCCAUUUAUAUUCAGCAGAGCUGAGAAGUGUGACUGUACUCGCGUAAAGGAGUAAAGAUGGUUUUGGGGGGACUUUUAAGGCCGCGUUCCUGCGCAGUCAUUAGCUAUCGGUACAUCGCCAUGUGUCACGCGACGGGGAAAAGGUUAUUUUCCUGUUUCUCCGGCAGCUCGGUGCGAUUGGACGUGUUUGUCCUCAACGACGUGAAACGUCAAAUGCCUCCGGUGAACCUGAUGUGAGCGCACAACAUUCUAAGAUGCACCGCCGUGAAACGUCACGGCUCUGCACACACCGCCGUCAGACCGGAGAGAAGAACAUACAAGCGCACACACGUGUGGAAGUCUCCCUCCCUCGUCCCAGAGUCUGUUGUUCAGGUGGUCAGAUGCCCGCCGGUGUUCCUCUCCGCAGUGCAGCGCCGUUCUCUGUAAUUAUCUUUUGCCAGAAUAAUCAGCGGUGCUAAAAGGUGAUGGAUGGCGAGGGAACGCGUUGCAAUAAAGCGAGCAGUCCCUCCGAUAAGCCGAAGCACUCAACUCGGCACUGUGAAUUUGUGAUAAAUCGGCCUCGUUUCAAAUCCAAACACAGAGCAAUUACACGUCUCUCCGAUUGUUGCCGUUGUAAAACAUCUGCGUCGGGAAACUAAACCAAAUCAAAUGACACUUUAUCGAGAUGGACAAAUUGAGAUGUCACCAAUUAACAAGACGCUAACUGUAAUAUUAUUUCACUUUUAUUCUUUCUAAAGCAGGCGAAAUAAACUGUUUCAGGUGCUAAAUACAUCAUAUGCUCUUAAAGUGUAGAGGAGGGGAAGCUUCCUUCUUUUGUCUGAUUUGGAAGGAGAAAUGUUGAAUUUGCAUUUACAGGGUGGGGG